CGGACGGGGGAGUAAUGUCUGGGAAACUGCCUGAUGGAGGGGGAUAACUACUGGAAACGGUAGCUAAUACCGCAUAACGUCGCAAGACCAAAGAGGGGGACCUUCGGGCCUCUUGCCAUCGGAUGUGCCCAGAUGGGAUUAGCUAGUAGGUGGGGUAACGGCUCACCUAGGCGACGAUCCCUAGCUGGUCUGAGAGGAUGGCCAGCCACACUGGAACUGAGACACGGUCCAG
rnacentral:rRNA from 1 species